CCUACGGGAGGCAGCAGUGAGGAAUAUUGGUCAAUGGCCGGAAGGCUGUACCAGCCAUGCCGCGUGAAGGUCAGUGCCCUAUGGGCGUUAAACUUCUUUUGUGCGGGAGCAAUAAUGGUCACGUGUGGCCAGACGAGAGUACCGUACGAAUAAGCAUCGGCUAACUCCGUGCCAGCAGCCGCGGUAAUACGGGGGAUGCAAGCGUUAUCCUGAGUUAUUGGGGUUAAAGGGUGCGUAGGCUGUGAGGUAAGUCAGCGGUGAAAUGCCCCCGCUCAACGGGGUGAAGUGCCAUUGAUACUGCCUUGCUGGAAUGCGGAUGCCGUGGGAGGAAUGUGUGGUGUAGCGGUGAAAUGCAUAGAUAUCACACAGAACACCGAUUGCGAAGGCAUCUCACGAAUCCGCGAUUGACGCUGAUGCACGAAAGCGUGGGUAUCAAACAGGAUUAGAUACCCCUGUAGUC
rnacentral:rRNA from 1 species